rnacentral:tRNA from 1 species
CGAAGUGCUUAACUUCACCAGCCGGGAGGAGAAACCCAACCGGGAAAGCGCUAGCGAAUCUCUUAGUGCAACCGCUGCACUUGUGAUGAACGUUAUGUUAAAAAAAAUGCUGGAAUCCCUUCUAGCGUAUUGAAAAACGUGAAAGGCGUGUAGUCACUGUGUCGGGUUGACUUCAAAAAUUGCACAAUAGUCUCCCUACUGAGGAAGCGGUAGGACUGAUCCGUAAGACUGCAAAGUCGUGAGGAUAAGCUGCCUAGUCAGUACUGCUGGUACCCUUUCACCCAUUCAGAGAGCCCCCAUUUUAUACUUCCGCUCUCCUUGUCGGACUCGAGCAAAAUGAUGAGCCCCUAAAUGUGUUACCUGGUUAAAGCAAUCAGGUUUCUCUUUAAAAUUAAAAAAAAAAAAAAAAAAAAAAGACAGUUCACGUCUUGUUUCCUCCAAGAUAAUGGAGAUUAAGGCGAAGGAGGAAGAAAAAAGAAAGGGAAACAAAAAGCAAGUGACCCCGACGUGAUUCGAACACGCAGCCUUCUGAUCUGGAGUCAGACGCGCUACCGUUGCGCCACGAGGUCCUGCUGAGCAGGCGCGCGCAGAGCCUUAGAACUCGCCCAUCACGGACCGCCGGUGGGACAUGGCCCGGGGGACCUCAGGGGCCGGCGCCGGUGAAGACCCCCUUCUCACUCCCCUAUGGCGACCUCACAGAUUACAACCGCAGGAUCUUUCCUUGAGUUCAGUUGGGAAAGACUAGACUUUCAAGUUUGCGGUUGCAUUGGCUCCCUCUGGUGGCAUUCAGAGAUGCUCUACAGUCUAGGAAAAUGAUUCAAAAUUAGUUAGAAAUCAGAAAAGGUAGAACCAUUUUUCAUCUGAAAGUGCUGAUUUAUCAACACCAAAAUGCUUUGUGGGAAAAUGUUU